AUGCUGUGGGGAUGUUAUCAGCGGCAGGGACUGGGGAGACUAGUCAGGACCGAGGCAAAGAUUAAUGGAUCAAAGUACAGAGAUCCUUGAUUGCGCUCAAGACCUCAGACUGGGGUGAAGGUUCACCUUCCAUCAGGACAAAGAAAUAAUUUUAUCAAUUUUAGAAAAAGGUUGUAGCCUCACAAAGUGGAAAAAGUCAAGGGGUCUGAAUACUUUCCAAAGGCACUGUAUGUAUGUGUCACUGUGUGUAGAGUGAAGGUAAAUCUUGAGUUUGUCCCCUUCUGGUUGCACACGUGACCAUAUUGGUAGAAAUGAGGUGAAACUGAUUUAAGUUUCCCUGCAUUAAAGUCCCCGGCCACUAGGAGCGCCACCUCUGAAUGAGCGUUUUCUUGUUUGCUUAUGGCCUUUUUAAUACAGCUCAGAUCGGUCUGCGGUGGUAUAUAGACGGCUACGAAAAAAUAUAGAUGAACUCUCUUGGUAAAUAGUGUGGUCUACAGCUGAUCAUGAGGUAUUCUAACGGAGGAGAGAAGAACCUCGAGACUUCCUUAAUAUUAGUGAUCACACACCAGCUGCUGCUAACAGAGACACACCCCUCCCCCCUUAAGCUCCCCCGACGUUGUGGUUCUGUCCGGCCGACACGCAGAAAGGGAAGCUUUGUGUAGUUUUGAAGAUAUGGUGUCUUGUUUCUUCCCAGGGUGGUGGGAGGCUUCGAGGCUCUGACAGCCAUGGAGAACAUAGAGGCUGAUCCUAAAACCGAUAAACCCAAGUCUGAGAUCAAGCUGCUGAGUGCCACUGUGUUCGUGGACCCGUAUGAAGAGGCAGAUGCCCAGGUUGGUUUGUGUGUUUGGUCUAUGAAUUACAGUAAUGUGUUGUCAGUUAGCUGCCCGACGCGUUUCAACUGUUGUCAGUUAGCUGCCCGACGCGUUUCAACUGUCGUCAGUUAGCUGCCCGACGCGUUUCAACUGUUGUCAGUUAGCUGCCCGACGCGUUUCAACUGUCGUCAGUUAGCUGCCCGACGCGUUUCAACUGUCGUCAGUUAGCUGCCCGACGCGUUUCAACUGUUGUCAGUUAGCUGCCCGACGCGUUUCAACUGUUGUCAGUUAGCUGCCUGACGCGUUUCAACUGUUGUCAG
rnacentral:lncRNA from 13 species